GCCUGCCCAGUGACAUAGUUCAACGGCCGCGGUAUCCUAACCGCGCGAAGGUAGCAUAAUCACUUGUUCUUUAAAUAGGGACUUGUAUCAAUGGCACCACGAGGGUUGUACUGUCUCCUUUCCCCAAUCAGUGAAACUGAUCUCCCUGUGAAGAAGCAGGGAUAAGCCUAUAAGACGAGAAGACCCCAUGGAGCUUUAAACCAAACGGCAACUCAUUCACAAACUCCCCCAUAACUAAAAGAGACGUGCCCGCAGGUUUUAGGUUGGGGCGACCGCGGAGUAAAAAUUACCCUCCACGACGGAAAGAACUAAACCUUUAUUCAAGAGCCACCCCUCUAGAAAUUAGCACACUAACGUCAAAUGACCCGAUUAUCGAUCAACGAACCAAGUUACCCUGGGGAUAACAGCGCAAUCUACUUCAAGAGCCCCUAUCGACAAGUAGGCUUACGACCUCGAUGUUGGAUCAGGGCAUCCCAGUGGUGCAGCCGCUACUAAUGGUUCGUUUGUUCAACGAUUAAAGCCCUACGUGAUCU
rnacentral:rRNA from 1 species